rnacentral:misc_RNA from 1 species
CCAGAUCCGACUAAUGAGAAUGCCACAAUACUGUUGAUGGGGUUGAGAAGUGCUAACUGAAUGAAUUAGGUCCGGCAAAUCAAGUAUAUGUAAAG